rnacentral:rRNA from 1 species
AUACGGAGGGUGCAAGCGUUAAUCGGAAUUACUGGGCGUAAAGCGCGCGUAGGCGGCUUGGUCAGUCGGAUGUGAAAGCCCCGGGCUUAACCUGGGAAUUGCAUUCGAUACUGCCAGGCUGGAAUGUAGUAGAGGGAAGUGGAAUUCCGGGUGUAGCGGUGAAAUGCGUAGAUAUCCGGAGGAACAUCAGUGGCGAAGGCGACUUCCUGGACUAACAUUGACGCUGAGGUGCGAAAGCGUGGGGAGCAAACAGGAUUAGAAACCCCAGUAGUCC